UCAGAGGCUCUGGAAACACAGGAAGUGGGAUGCAGGAUGACAUGGAGAGCUCUGACUACAAUAAUGUGAAGCCUGAAUCAGUGAAAGGUCCAUAAAGAGAAGAGCAUCGUCAGCAAAGCAAGAGACUCAUGGACAAUGACACGAAAAACAACGUGUUGACAACAUAUCUACAACAGUUUAGUCCGUCCUUUCUGUUCAGAUGGGUGCGCAGUGUUUGAAAGAUUUACAUGAUCUCGCACAAUUCUUGGAGAUCUGACCUGAAAAGUUAAGACUGCUCUGGUGAUUUGUGUUUGUGUUCAUUAUCUCUUCUCUG